UCUUCGAGAGCGUGUUCCAAUCCGCCUGAUACGCACUCAGCCCCAGGGGAAGCCGGUCGGAAUCCGGCGCUGACCCGCAACCGUGGGCCCGCAUCGCGCGGGCGAGCCGGACUGCCUGGGACCAGGAAUCACAG
rnacentral:ncRNA from 2 species